GCCGGAGUGGCGGAACAGGCAGACGCGGCGGUCUUAAACACCGCUGAUCGCGAGAUCGUCCGGGUUCGAACCCCGGCUCCGGCACCA
rnacentral:tRNA from 1 species